rnacentral:rRNA from 1 species
AUGAGAUUUCAUUCAAAGCCGGUGGUAGAUCCGCUUUGUACCUUAGAGUUACAUGCUCAAACUCAAUCUUCCCUUCUGUUGGCCAACUUCUAUCAGGAGAUUCUGAUCCCUGGAGUUCUUCUUGAGGUAUACCAACAUACUGCAAGCAUUAUUGAAUUAUUAGAGGAAAAUAUGCUUGUCAGUAACAGGCAGAAUAUUUCUUGGCUUUUUACCUCAACAACCCUCUCAACAGAGAUCAUUUCCUUUUCUGUCUCUGUAAAAGUGGUUAAGAAGCUAUUCAACAGUGAUACAACAGGUGCUGCAUAUGAUAACGCCAGGCCAACCUGCAGUGUAUUUUUUCUAUCUUAA